ensembl:lncRNA
CACCCUCAAGGCAAGCCAGGCAGCGGGCUUGCCAAAACCAGAGUUUCUGACAAGGCAGGGAUGUCCCCGGCUGGUUUCAUCAUCAGAACAGCAUUUUCCAGCGGUUUCUCUAGCAGUGAGGUGGCGAGAAAGAAAGCAUAGCAGCUCAGAAUAUAAGGAGGAUUAGAAGAGUGCAUUGCCUAAGAAGGCAUCCUCGUCCUGUUUGCAGCUAUGUCAAGAGAUCCCACACAUAGAAGUUUUCUGUGCCCCACGUAUGAGCUCUUUCCCUUAUGCAAGCAAGCCAAGACAGGACUGGCGUGAGUGGGAUGGAGGUUUUGGGACCACACCUAGCUCACAGAAACUUGAUUUGGAGCCAGCUGUGGUGUACGCCAAUAAAACCUGCAAUCAGUGACAGCUUUCAUCCCAAAUGUGCCCGGGCUGACUUCCCUUUCAAAAUAAUGGAGGAUGAGACUGCAAGCAGGUCAGAGAAGAACGUCACACAAUUGAAUUCAUCCGCAAGCCCAUGGAUGAGGAUAGAUCUCCUGUUUUCUAAUAUAAAAAAUUCAGUGGUGGCAGCUAAAACUUAAACAGCUGAUUAUUUUUUGUUCCUGGUUUCCCAUCAGGUCUCUCAGUGAAACACUGCUCCCACACUCAGUCUCCCGAAAGCCUCCAUAUUCUGUCUCUUUUGGUAUUAAAAGAGAUGCGGUGUUCUUCGCUUCUGUCCUCCAGUAUAAGCAGCUGUCAGGACUUCUGCAAUGUGAGGCGCUGGCACAGCUGCCCAGAGAAGCUGUGGUGCCCCAUCCCUGGAGGCGCUCAAGGCCACGUUGGAUGGGGCCCUGGGCAGCCUGAGCUGGUGGGGGCAGGUGUUGGGGUGGGUGGGCUUUGAGGUCCCUCAACCAUUCUAUGAUUCCAUGAUUUCUGCAAUAAAGAUGCAAAACCAAAGGAGAACAGCUGCAAGUGAACAGUGGAAGACACACGAUGCUUCAGAUGCUUCAGGCUGCAAUAGCGGAAGCCCGCUCUGCCCCAGGAAUCACCUGAGGAGUUUGGGCUUUGCAAGGCUAGAAGAGAGACCAACAGUAGACACACAGCCAGGGGCUGUGGGAAGUAUUCAGCAGGCAGCGCUCUCCCUUCAGGAUAUCAAAAGAGUGCAGUUCUCAUCAUUGUCUGAAGGAGAUGCAUUACCAGGGCUCUAGCUGCUUCUGCUGCUGAUGGAAGAUAUGAAAGCAUUUUUCACAAGCUAUGCACAUGCCCCAGCCAUGUCCCCACUGAGUAAAUGCUUUCACUCUGCCUAAUUCCUUCUCACAGUUCCCACAGAACAUGGCAUUUUUCACUGCCUCACCCCAACUGUUGUGCAGCAUCAUUCUGUGCUUCCAAACAUCUGACACGUCAUCUCUGUGAUGGAUGAAAGUGUUUGCACAGAUUAUGCAGGUGCCUUGGAGGCUCUGGAGCUAAAGCCUAUCUAGCUCUGAAAUUGUAAAGCGUGCUCUAUGUUCCUGGAGAUGCAUGUAAAAAUGAGUGCAUUCUAAAGCUGAACCGUGUUAAAAUUCAAGUGGAGCACGACUUCUCUGGGUGACUCACACCAGCCACAUCAUUUGCUUCCUCCACUGAACGCUAUCAGGUGUUCCAGUUACUACCAAGUUCCUCCAGUCCGGAACACUGAGGCUCUGCUUGCCUAUGGAAGCCUUUUGCUCCCCUAGCACUUGUUAAUCUGCAAUACAAAAUUGGCAUGGGGCAGUUUUACAUAAUCUGGCUGUAAAAUGCAGCUUCAAUGGCAAAGCAAUAGAUAAAACCGAAAACCUCAGUCAUGGAGGGGAGCCCAGAGGAAAGUGUCUGGGGACAGCUCAGCACCAUAAGAAUUACCUGUGGAGAAGAAAUGUUUGCAUGUCCUCUCCAUCCUGGCUACUUGAAGUGCAGGGCAGUGGGAACACUGUGCAGGUGCUACAGUUGUAUGUCUUCACUGACCUGGUGUCUGUCUUUCACUGUCCUGGAAAGCCAUCUACUCCCUUUUGCAAUUCUCCUUUUAGGAACAAGGUGGUCCUUACAAAACCUGAAAGUUCCCCAGGAUAUGGAGGAAGCAGAAGAAAAAGAAAGACAUGGAAAAAAAGAACUGAUUAUGAGGGACAAAAAUGAAACAAAGGGAAGACAUGCUGAUGGGUGCUCUGCCCCACAGUGUGGGAGGAUGAACUACAUGUUCCAAUAAAUGUACUAUCUAAAUUGUCAGAGUUCUGUGCCCCUUUUCUUAGCUUUGGUUUUCUUUCUUUUCCGGUGUACAAUACGUGCAGCACUGAAUUUUGCAGUAAUGUAUGUCACAUGAAAUUGUUUACCUGAAUACACAGUGCAAAAAAUUGCAGGACUCGACCAGCAGAUAGGUUUGUAGAACCUGUGAUUUUUAUGUAAAGUGUUGUAAAAUCAUCUCUGUACAGAGGACUGCACUUCGAUAUAGUGUCCCUUGUAUAGCUUAGAAAACCAUAACAAUAAACAACACAAUGUACAGCAUGC